CAGUAGCCACGGGAAUACGUAGGGUCCGAGCGUUGUCCGGAAUUAUUGGGCGUAAAGAGCUCGUAGGCGGUCUGUCGCGUCUGCCGUGAAAUCCUCAGGCUCGACCUGAGGCGUGCGGUGGGUACGGGCAGGCUAGAGUGCGGUAGGGGAGAAUGGAGCUCCUGGUGUAGCGGUGGAAUGUGCAGAUAUCAGGAAGAACACCGAUGGCGAAGGCAGUUCUCUGGGCCGUAACUGACGCUGAGGAGCGAAAGCGUGGGGAGCGAACAGGAUUAGAUACCCGGGUAGUCCCUGUCUCUUAUAU
rnacentral:rRNA from 1 species